CUGCUGCCUUCCGUAGGAGUCUGGUCCGUGUCUCAGUACCAGUGUGGGGGACCUUCCUCUCAGAACCCCUACGCAUCGUCGCCUCGGUGGGCCGUUACCCCGCCGACUAGCUAAUGCGCCGCAUGCCCAUCCCCCGCCGGAAUCGCUUCCUUUGGCCGCAGACCCAUGCAGGUCCGCGGCGUUACGCGGUAUUAGUCGGGAUUUCUCCCGGUUAUCCCCCUGCGGGGGGCAGGUCGCAUACGUGUUACUCACCCGUGCGCCGGUCGCCGGCAGG
rnacentral:rRNA from 1 species